GCUGUAAACAAGUUCAAAAAAUGUGUGCUUGGAAAGGACUGUACAUGCAUUGUGUCACUGUAUAUAUUUUCCUCAGAAAGUGCCAAAUUAAGAUUUCAACCAUUCUGAUUGGCAUUACAAUUUGGAUGAUGAGCUAGGAGAGGAUACUUGUGUAAUUUCCAGAACAACGUGGUUGUAUAUAGAAAUUUCAUUGUUAGAGUGACUAAUAGUGAAAUUAGGCUUGUAAUUUUUACAGCAAAAAACCCCCAGCUCUUCCAAAAAGCAUCAGAAAGUGGAAAUUUCAUCUCUGAGGAGUCUGACACAAUUUUGUGGGGUGUUGAAAACAUAUUAGCUAUAAGCUGUAGUUCUAUUCAGAGCUUCACUCUAUAAAUGACAUUGUAACUGCUUUGUUUAAAGAAGCAAGUGAAGACUUGUAAUUUGUGCUGCAGGAUUCACUGAAGAGAGUGGGACAUAACAAGCAAGCAUCAUCUUGCCCAUUACUUGGGGAAAUGAAAUAUCUAUUUAAGGCAAAUGCUUUGAGGCAUGUAAAUUUUGAAGUUCAGACUAGUUCUCAAACAGUAUAGAUUGAAUAUGUAUAAAUAACUGGCAACAGUUACACGGUGAUAUUAACCCUCAUAAAGCUGUUAUCCCAGCAAUGCCUCUGCUUGUCAUCUUCCAGAUGUAUCUUUGAAGAUUUGUGUUGGGAAUUACAAUGAUGGAGAGUAUGAGACAAGUCCUGUACCUUCCCCAGUUCAACAAGAUUCUAAGGAAGGUCUGGGGCCUUCAAGAUCAGAGGGCCUGAAUAUGUACUUUUAAGAUUGUCUCUGCAACACUGAGAAGUGCAGAAUGAAACAAGUUGCACGAGAACAUGGAGGCAAUAAAUUCCCUACUUUUUAGACAUGGGUCUAAGGAGCAAGAAUAAUAAAACACAAUGGGUGAAAGCAAAUGAAAGAAAAACAAACAAAUCUCUAAGUAGAGCUUCUUGGGGUGGCUUAGAAAUACAGCUUUUAAGGUAGAACGAUUAUUAAAGUGUGUUUUCACUUUGACUGUCUUUCUGUUAGUCUUGUGCCAAAUUCUGCCAUUUUCCUGGCAUUAACACAAAAAGGGAGCACCUGCAUCUCCUUCAAAAAUCUGAAAAUUCUUGUCUUAAAUAAAGCCUUCAGACAGUAAGGCAUUUCUCUAUCA